ensembl:lncRNA PKNOX2-AS1 PKNOX2 antisense RNA 1
AGUCCCGUCCUGACCUCCAGACCUUGCAUGUGGAUUGGUUUUGCUGCUGUAAGGAAAGGGCUCAAGGACAGCAGCUCAGCAUCCUGUGGCUGCACACGCAGAGUGAGAGGGACAUGGUGGCAGGGCCUAUCGAGGGUCUGCGUGGCCAGGAACGAGGAGUGUCAUGACCGAGAAUGAAUACUCUGGAUGUGGUGGCUGGCUCCUUGUGAAGAAGAAUUCAAUCAGAUUCCAUUUGAUUAAUCUGCAUUGAGAUCCUAGUAUGUGUCCGACACUAUGCAGAAAUACUUCACUCCCUCUUCCAUGGCAGACCAUGAUGAACUAGGGUUUGCUGUUUUCACGGCUUCUGUCACUGUUGGAGCUGAGGCUGAGGCUGCAGCAGGAGCUCCUCUGGCCCCGAGGCAAGAGACAUGUUCUCUGCAUCCCCAGGGGACCCAAAGCAACUUCUGGUUUGGGUUAAAGAGGACUUGGGUGACCCCACCCUGCCAGUCAUCCACCCUCUGGCAGCCAGGGCGGCAGCAGGGGAGGGGGCAGAAGGCUGCCACAGUGCUUCUCUCCCCUGCCAUUUCCUCUGCAGCUCCCUCUCUGGCCCUGUUUUUCAGACCUCUAGUAAUAAAAACAAGCCAAUAAAAUGAACAUGAAAAUAUA